CUUCCCUCACUCUUCUAUCAACAUUUCUAAUCUAAACAAUCUCUAGAAAUUAAAGGAAAAAUGUUUACGACUUCAAAUUCAAAAAUUGAGUUCAACCCGCCGUCUGUUUUUGGCUAAAUUACUCUUUGCAAAGGGUACAAGAGGAGCUUGCAACAGUAAGCUGGGCAGAGCUUACGGCAGGCCUUGAAAGCAUAGAAGUUAGUAUUUUGUCUUGUUUUAUAUGUAUAUCACGGGGAUGGAUCUGGGGUAGUUCUAGUAUCGGCUUCGACCCAUGUUUUUGUCAUAUUUUGAUGUGUACAUAAAAUGGAAAUGCUAGGAUUUUAUUUUGAUGUACAAUAGCCGCCUAUCUGAACUUGGGUCUAGAUAUAUACAUUACUGUCAGUAUCCAUGUAUACUUAUGUACUUCUCUUACAUGUUCAA